CUUCGUCGGAGCCGUCGGGCUGAGUCGGUGUUGAGACAGUGUUGGGUGAAGGUGGUGGUUCGUCGUCCGUCGCGUUCGAGUCCUCUAUAAUAUAACCUCCUCCUCCUCCUCCUCCUCCUCCUUCUCCUCCUCCGCGUCGUGAGCGACAUAAGACCGCACACUUAAGGGGGGAGAUGACGGAGGAGAAUAAUCUUAAUUGAUUAUUAAUAAUUAUACCAAUUAUUCGUCAUUAUUUACGGAUGUACAUCCAAGGGGAAAUGGAUGAUGAUGAGUGAGUGAUUGAGAAUUAUAUAUUUUUUAAUACGAUUUUUUUUGGAAAAGAAUAAAAAUUGAAAAAUAAAUAAAAAUAAUAUAGGACGGUUACGUCUUUUGAUGUGGCGACUAGACCACGUGGUAUGAUCGAGUUUUUUUUUCUUUUAAAUAUUAUUAUAUAUAUAAAUUUGAGAUGCAGAUUUAAUAAUGAUUUAUUACAUAUACAGAAAGAUGAAUAAGCUACGUUAUACGGUAGUUAUUUUACGGUAAAAAACGUCGUUGAUAUUUGUAAACAAACGUUUGUUUGACAGUGAGAAAAAUAUAUAUGAAAAUAUAUAUAUAUAUACUAUGAAAAAGUAAUUAUAUACAUUACAGUCAUUACCUAGGCCUACGUAGACACACUUCAAACUAUAUAACACCUGGGAAAAGUAAUUAGUAUUCUCGUCACUUAAGAAGCUGUGGCAGGCUUCGGUUUCAAAGGUUGCACAAGACUUGAGACUCUCAGCCACAGCGGAACGAUCAGAUCGAAGUCCUCCUGCCAAUCCCUUUAAGAAACUGGAAGACCAAGGUGAAUUUCAUCUGCUUGCUGGUCUACAUGGAUAGAUGGAACUUAUAAGUAAAGG